UCCACCACCACAGUGUGUGUCCAUGGUACUACAAAAGGCCUGCCCACCACUGCCAUCUUUGCUGUUUUCAUACAAAAAUCAUCAAGCACUUCCCUGGGCAAGGAGAAGCAAGAAAACAAAAAAAUAUAAAUGUCAAGCAAGGAGAAAACGAAAAGACACCACCACUGCUGCUGCUCCAGCUGCCGCCCCUUCCCCUCAAGGUUUGUGCUUCUCAAUGUGCUCUGUUCCUCCACCUGAGCAUACCCCUCUUUUGCUUUAGCUCCUCCCCUCCCUGCUGCACCACCAAGCCUGGAUCCCAUCUUCCAUAUCAAGUGUGUGCUGGAAAGGGAGGAGAGAAGAGGGGGGAGCUUGUUCUCACACAACUGGCUAGCACUCUUCCUGGAAGAUUGGAUUGGGAAUGAUCAUGAAUUGAGGAUUUUCAAAUGCAGCUUCUGAUUGAUCAAGAGAAGGGAUAGAUAGGCCCAGGCUGUGAGAAAUCCCUCCACCCCAUUUUACUAUCCUCACUACCUAGGUAAGUAGCUGAAUGUUCAGCCCUGUCCCUGUAAGAAUUUAUUUAAAGUUUUUUAAGUAGAUAGCUGAAAGGGACUAAAAGAGCUCAAAGGAGAGAGCUCCAGCCAGCCAUCCAACAACAACACCAUCACCACAGCAGCAGAAGGAACCAGAGCACCACCAGCAGUCAAGUCAGUUAUCUCAACCCCUCUCCAAAUCCACUCCACCAUCAUUCACCAUCAUCAUCAUCAACUUGAACAUCAUAGAGCUCUAGAGGCACAGAAGCAUCCAAGGCAUAUUCAU
rnacentral:lncRNA from 1 species